rnacentral:rRNA from 1 species
GAUCUUGUUUGAAAGAUUAAUCGGUUGCGGAUUGGCUCGCGUCCCAUUAGCUAGUCGGCGGGGUAACGGCCCACCGAGGCGACGAUGGGUAGGGGUUCUGAGAGGAAGGUCCCCCACAAUGGAACUGAGACACGGUCCAUACUCCUACGGGAGGCAGCAGUGAGGAAUAUUGGUCAAUGGGCGGAAGCCUGAACCAGCCAUGCCGCGUGCAGGACGACGGCCCUAUGGGUUGUAAACUGCUUUUGCGAGGGAGCAAUAAGGGCCUCGAGCAGGUCCGAUGAGAGUACCUUGCGAAUGAGCAUCGGCUAACUCCGUGCCAGCAGCCGCGGUAAUACGGAGGAUGCGAGCGUUAUCCGGAUUUAUUGGGUUUAAAGGGUGCGUAGGCUGUUAGUUAAGUCAGGGGUGAAAUGCCGGUGCUCAACGCCGGAGCUGCCCUUGAUACUGGCUGGCUGGAGUGCGGAUGCCGUUGGAGGAAUGAGUGGUGUAGCGGUGAAAUGCUUAGAGAUCACUCAGAACACCGAUUGCGAAGGCAUCUGACGAAUCCGUCACUGACGCUGAGGCACGAAAGCGUGGGGAUAGA